GAGUUUUGAUCAUGGCUCAGGAUGAACGCUAGCUACAGGCUUAACACAUGCAAAUCGAGGGGCAGCAUUUUAGUUUGCUUGCAAACUAAAGAUGGCGACCGGCGCACGGGUGAGUAACACGUAUCCAACCUGCCGAUAACUCGGGGAUAGCCUUUCGAAAGAAAGAUUAAUAUCCGAUAGUAUAUUUUCUCCGCAUGGCGAGAAUAUUAAAGAAUUUCGGUUAUCGAUGGGGAUGCGUUCCAUUAGUUUGUUGGCGGGGUAACGGCCCACCAAGACUACGAUGGAUAGGGGUUCUGAGAGGAAGGUCCCCCACAUUGGAACUGAGACACGGUCCAAACUCCUACGGGAGGCAGCA
rnacentral:rRNA from 1 species